GCUCGGCCCAAAUGAGAGCUGCU
rnacentral:snRNA from 1 species